rnacentral:misc_RNA from 1 species
AACGCACCUUGCGCCCCUUGGCAUUCCGAGGGGCACACCCGUUUGAGUGUCGUGAAAUCCUCAACCCUUCUUUGUUUCUUUUCGAUUCGAAGAAAGGCUUGGAAUUUGGAGGCUUUUGCUGGCCUUUCUUGAAGCCAGCUCCUCUUAAAUGCAUUAGCAGGGUCUCCUCAGCUGGAUCCCUUGACGUGAUAAGCCUUUUACGUCUCAAAGGGUUUUCUGGCUCUGCCCGCUUCCAAUCGUCUCGUCGAGACAAACCUUUUUGAACCCUUGACCUCAAAUCGGGUGAGACUACCCGCUGAACUUAA